GCCAUGACACGUUGAAACACCAGUUCUCGUCCGAUCACCGAAGUUAAGCAACGUCGAGCUUGUUCAGUACCUAGAUGGGUGACCGCUUGGGAAUACCAGGUGCUGUAGG
rnacentral:rRNA from 1 species